rnacentral:lncRNA from 1 species
GAAGCAAAACUCUACUUACUGAGCUAGUGUAGCUCAUAUUCUUUUUGUUUUCUUUUCCAUGUACAGAGAAAUAAGGCUAGGACCGAAGAAAAGGGAAUCCAGGCUUGGGGAUCAGCAAAGCAAGCUUGGAAAUUUUGCACUAGGAAUUCAGUUUAUGUUUAUGGAUUGUAGUCAUUAUGAAUUUUAAGACUUAGAUUAUUUCAUCUUUGGAUUUAGAUGCUCUGAACCAGUUUUGGUUUAAUUAAAUAAUUGAAUUGAACUUUAUUAUUACAUUUAUUUGUGAU